UACAGAGGUCUCAAGCGUUGUUCGGAUUCAUUGGGCGUAAAGGGCGCGUAGGCUGCGGGGCAAGUCGGGUGUGAAAUCUCAGAGCUCAACUCUGAAACUGCACUCGAUACUGCUUUGCUCGAGGACUGGAGAGGAGAUUGGAAUUCACGGUGUAGCAGUGAAAUGCGUAGAUAUCUGGAGGAACACCGGUGGCGAAGGCGGCAUCCUGGACCGGCAUUGACGCUGAGGCGCGAAAGCUAGGGGAGCAAACGGG
rnacentral:rRNA from 1 species